AGAGUGAACGCUGGCGGUAGGCCUAACACAUGCAAGUCGAACGGCAGCACAGUAGGAGCUUGCUCUUACGGGUGGCGAGUGGCGGACGGGUGAGGAAUACAUCGGAAUCUACCUUUUGGUGGGGGAUAACGUAGGGAAACUUACGCUAAUACCGCAUACGCCCUUCGGGGGAAAGCCGGGGACCAGCAAUGGCCUGGCGCUGAUAGAUGAGCCGAUGUCGGAUUAGCUAGUUGGUCGAGGUAAUGGCUCACCGAAGGCGACGAUCCGUAGCUGGUCUGAGAGGAUCGAUCAGCCACACUGGAACUGGAGACCACGGUCCAGACCUCCGUACGGGAGGCAGCAGGUGGGGAAUUAGUUGGACCAAAGUGGGAC
rnacentral:rRNA from 1 species